rnacentral:rRNA from 1 species
GACGAACGCUGGCGGCGUGCUUAACACAUGCAAGUCGAACGGAAAGGCCCUGCUUUUGUGGGGUGCUCGAGUGGCGAACGGGUGAGUAACACGUGAGUAACCUGCCCUUGACUUUGGGAUAACUUCAGGAAACUGGGGCUAAUACCGGAGAGGAGCUCCUGCUGCAUGGUGGGGGUUGGAAAGUUUCGGCGGUUGGGUAUGGACUCGCGGCUUAUCAGCUUGUUGGUGGGGUAGUGGCUUACCAAGGCUUUGACGGGUAGCCGGCCUGAGAGGGUGACCGGCCACAUUGGGCCUGAGAUACGGCCCAGACUCCUACGGGAGGCAGCAGUGGGGAAUAUUGCACAAUGGGCGGAAGCCUGAUGCAGCAACGCCGCGUGCGGGAUGACGGCCUUCGGGUUGUAAACCGCUUUCGCCUGUGACGAAGCGUGAGUGACGGUAAUGGGUAAAGAAGCACCGGCUAACUACGUG